AUGGGGAUUGGGGAUGCAUCACCUAGUGAAAACCAGUCUGCACACAAGGAAAAGAGGGAUGAGACCACGCCACUUCUCCCGGUCAAGGCGGAAGAGGAAGAUGGGAUCCAUGAGUUCAAUGGAGCCUCUUUCUCGGGUGCAGUUUUCAAUCUGUCGACAACCAUCGUGGGGGCUGGAAUUAUGGCCCUGCCAGCAAGUAUCAAGAUGCUAGGCAUUAUCCCGGGUAUUUUGAUGAUCAUCCUUGUGGCAUUGCUCACUGAGGCAUCAAUUGACAUGAUGGUCAGGUGCAGCCACCAGGCCAAGAUUACAUCCUAUGGCUGGCUGAUGGGUGACUCUUUUGGUCAAUGGGGGAGGAUUGCGCUGCAAGCAUCUGUGGUCAUAAACAACAUUGGCGUCAUGAUUGUAUACAUGAUUAUCAUCGGUGAUGUGCUAUCGGGAACAUCUACAACUGGUGUUCAUCACCGGGGUAUCUUUGAGGGGUGGUUUGGUCCUCAUUUUUGGAAUUCUCGUCCAGUUGUUCUCCUUGCCACAACUAUUUUUGUGUUUGCCCCAUUGGUGAGCUUUAAGCGAUUGGAUUCAUUGAGAUACACAUCUGCUCUGUCAGUUGCCCUUGCUGUGGUUUUUGUUGUCAUCACUGCUGGAAUUGCUAUUCUCAGACUGAUAGAAGGGACCGCGGAGAUUCCCAAACUCUUCCCUGAGAUACAUGAAAUCAAUUCCAUCUGGGAACUCUUUACAGCUGUGCCGGUUCUUGUCACUGCCUACAUUUGCCACUACAAUGUUCACAGCAUCGAUAAUGAGCUGGAAGAUAGAAGUCAGACUAAGCCAAUUGUGCGAACUUCACUCGCUCUCUGUUCAAGUGUUUAUGUUGCGACAAGCUUCUUUGCAUAUCUCCUCUUUGGCGAGGGUACCCUCUCUGAUGUGCUCGCCAAUUUUGACUCCGACCUUCAUAUUCCAUUCAGCUCUGUCUUCAAUGAUAUAGUCAGAGUGAGCUAUGUAGUCCAUGUCAUGCUCGUUUUCCCUAUAGUCUUCUUUGCCCUUAGGCUCAACCUGGAUGGACUCCUCUUCCCCACCUCAAGGCACAUUUCUCAUGACAACCGAAGGUUUACCAUUAUCACCGUCUCACUCCUUGUUGUGAUUUAUCUUGCUGCCAACUUCAUACCAAGCAUCUGGGAUGCGUUCCAGUUCACUGGUGCUACAGCUGCUGUCCUGAUUGGUUUCAUCUUUCCUGCCAUGAUCAUACUCAGGGAUUCUUAUGGGAUCGCAACCAAGCGCGACAAGGUUUUAGCUGUAACCAUGAUUGUGCUUGCUGUGCUCUCCAAUUCAGUGGCCCUGUACAGCGAUGCGAUGAGCAUCUUCUACAGGAAGGUGGAGGCCUAG
rnacentral:rRNA from 1 species